rnacentral:rRNA from 1 species
GACGAACGCUGGCGGCGUGCUUAACACAUGCAAGUCGAACGAUGAAGCGGUGCUUGCACCGUGGAUUAGUGGCGAACGGGUGAGUAAUACGUGAGUGACCUACCUUUGACUCUGGGAUAAGCCUGGGAAACUGGGUCUAAUACCGGAUACGACCAAUCUCUGCAUGGGGUGUUGGUGGAAAGCGUUAUGGAGUGGUUUUAGAUGGGCUCACGGCCUAUCAGCUUGUUGGUGAGGUAAUGGCUUACCAAGGCGACGACGGGUAGCCGGCCUGAGAGGGUGACCGGCCACACUGGGACUGAGACACGGCCCAGACUCCUACGGGAGGCAGCAGUGGGGAAUAUUGCACAAUGGGCGCAAGCCUGAUGCAGCGACGCCGCGUGAGGGAUGACGGCCCUUCGGGUUGUAAACCUCUGUUAGCAUCGAAAGAAGCGAAAAGUGAC